AACGUGGAAGAUCAUGCGAGUGGUAUAGUUUCCCAAUGUAUCCCAACUUGGAAAACUCAAGUGUAACCCAGUAGGAUCCUUCCCGUGAGAUGAAAGUCCAAUGGUUAAGUAUUCUGCAAAAAGAAAAAAACAAAGAUGACCAUCACACAUGCAGCACAUGAUAGUACAAUAAAGUAAUGGGAAAUGC